GUAGGGAAUUUUCCACAAUGGGGGCAACCCUGAUGGAGCAACGCCGCGUGCAGGAUGAAUGCCUUCGGGUUGUAAACUGCUUUUAUAUGUGAAGAAUAUGACGGUAGCAUAUGAAUAAGGAUCGGCUAACUCCGUGCCAGCAGCCGCGGUCAUACGGAGGAUCCAAGCGUUAUCCGGAAUCACUGGGCGUAAAGAGUUGCGUAGGUGGCAGAGUAAGCAAAUAGUGAAAGCGUGAGGCUCAACCUCAUAAACAUUAUUUGAACUGCUCAGCUUGAGUAUGGGAGAGGUAGAUGGAAUUUCUAGUGUAGGAGUGAAAUCCGUAGAUAUUAGAAGGAACACCGAUGGCGUAGGCAGUCUACUGGCCCAUUACUGACACUAAGGCACGAAAGCGUGGGGAGCGAACGGGAUUAGAAACCCUGGUAGUCC
rnacentral:rRNA from 1 species